rnacentral:rRNA from 1 species
UACUAGAGUAGCACUCGCAUAUCAAUAAGCGGAGGAAAAGAAACUAACAAGGAUUCCCCUAGUAACGGCGAGUGAAGCGGGAAGAGCUCAAAUUUGAAAUCUUAAAGGGUUUCCCUUUACGAAUUGUAGUUUAAAGAAGUGUUUUCUGUUGAGGUUUUGGUAAAAGUUCUUUGGAAUAGGACAUCAUAGAGGGUGAGAAUCCCGUAUUUGACCUUUACUUUCAACUUUGUGAUACACUUUCAAAGAGUCGGAUUGUUUGGGAAUGCAGUCCAAAAUGGGUGGUAAAUUUCAUCUAAAGCUAAAUAUUGGCGAGAGACCGAUAGCGAACAAGUACCGUGAGGGAAAGAUGAAAAGAACUUUGAAAAGAGAGUUAAACAGUACGUGAAAUUGUCAAAAGGGAAGCGUUUGAUACCAGUGUUGUUUUUCUGAAAAUCAAUUAAAGAACUGUUUAUGCUAAGCUGUUUAGACUUUAUCAGCUAUCUGCUUAGUUUUGAGCUUUUCUUUAAUGCACUUUUCAGUUAACAAGUCAACAUCAAUUCCUUUUGCUGUAAAAAAGCUUGAGGAAGGUGGCUUGAGAUUCGUCUUAAGUGUUUAUAGCCUCUUGCCUAUGCAGUCGGAGAGAUUGAGGUCUGCAGCGUAGAUCCUUCGGGGCUAAAUGCAUUUGUGCUAAGUUAUAGCAUUUUAUAGACAACUUGUUGACUAUGAUUUGUCUUGUAGCUUACUCGCUUAUGUUAUUUUACCUACGCUUAGGAUGUUGAACUACUGAGACAUAGA